ACUUGUAUCAUAUAGUCUCAGAUAUUUAUUUCAUUCCUUGGUUAUAAUCCAAUACCACUGUUAUUUUGUUGCUCAAAUAAUGCUAGCUCCAGCCAGGGGGAAGUUUCUCAGGUUGCUUCUGUGUCCUUUUGACGCGGCCCAACUGUUUUGUUUUGCUUUUAAAGCACAUCCUUAUUUCCUGGCACUGGCUCCAGGUUCCUUCUGUAUUUUCCUUAACCUAGCCCUGAAAUCAGCCACUUCUCCAAGGAAUCCUGGUUCCUUUCAUUGAGAAUGGUAUUUAAAAACCAAGAUCUGAGUGCUAGGCGCACUUGUUGUCACUGAGGUGUCCCUGUUUCUAUGUCCUUUCGGCAGACAGAUUCAGGAAACACAUAUAUGUAUAUUAACUUAUGCAUAUGCACAUACCUAUAUUUAUUUUUAUAUCUAUUACAAUAACUUGAAGCUCAUACUGAUGUUUCCAAAUCUAAUCAAGCACCACAUAUUUUCCUCCAGGCAUCUCCUCUUGCUCAUUUGUAACUUCCUUCUCUGACAGUGAGCAACCUGCUUCCCACCAUCUACAAUUUAUUUAUACACAUAUUCCACCCUACUAUACAUGCAUAGUUUCAGAAUUGCUAACCUGUACCCCGUGAGAAAUAAAUUUACAAUGACAGUACAGUGUUGACGUACAAUUCUUUUUUGUAUCCAUUCAAAAUACUUUUCCAAAGUUACUUAGAGGCUUGCAUGGUGGCUCACACCUGUAAUCCCAGCACUUUGGGAGGCUGAGGCAGGUGGAUUACCUGAGGUCAGGAGUUCAAGACCAAACCCCAUCUCUACUAAAAAUACAAAAUUUAGCUGGGCAUGGUGGUGUUGCAAACAUGUAAUCCCAGCUACUCAGGGGGCUGAGGCGACCGCUGAGCCUGCCACACUCACCGCACACGUGGGACCGAGACAGCUCGCGC
rnacentral:lncRNA from 1 species